UUCGAUCGUCUAUUGUACUUUACCGGAUUUAUAUUGUUUUCACUAAGUUUACUAACAGCUGUCAGUGGACUCGUCCUGGGGUGUGUCUCGCAACUUUAAUUACACUUGCUCCCAUUUACCUGUUACUUCUGCAUAUCUUAUUGUCAUUUCUUCGUACGACCCGCAGGUGGACAUUGCGAAGAGAAAACGAGGAGAAAGAGACAACAAGAAGAGGGUAAUUUACGCACGGGUGAAGCUAGUGGUUACUGACUACACGAUAAGCCAGGCGACAUAAAUGCAGUUAGACGUUUCUGCUGCACCAGAAACUUAAGAAUGGUGAAAAGGCAAGAAAACGGGGAAAACAGCAGGAAGAAGAAUCAAGAAAGGGAAGAGAAGAAAUAAGAAAAGGAUGUUUUCAUUUUUUCCUGGAAAUUAAGUUUUCUGCCUACCACGAGAUGGUGUGAGGAAACUGUAGCUGACAGAUGGAUGGCUCUGUUCCUAGAAUCUGGUCCUUGUUGCCGUACACGAGCGUUCGAAAUUUGAAUCCGGUAUGAUGAGGGGUUCUCGAGUUGUGAGCGAAAGAAAAUUUGAAAAAUUUGGAAGACAAAUGGGAAAUGUAUUCAGGGACACAUUUUAAGUUGUGUUCACCUAAAAAAUAUUCCAAGAUGCUGAAUUCCUUCAGAUGAGAAACCAAGUACCUCUGGUUACAGUCCCUAAGGACAUCCUUCGCAUCACACUUGCUUUUCACGUUUACGCAUACAUGAUGAGCUAUCACACAAGUUCCAGCUUCCACGAGAAUGCAGCUCUGCUCCAACACAAUACUGGAAAGUUUGGAGUCAAUUCCUGCUGUUGAUAGAAUUCCUCGUCCCAUAAAUGGUGGAUGUUGCUGGCUUAAAGGUGAUCCAAGAAACUGGUGGACCUAGCGGACUUACAAGUCCUUAAACUAAAAUUUAUAUUUCACGCUGAAAUCUUUGGCAUUUUUCUGUGAUUCAAGAAGAGUUAUUUUUCCAUUUCUAUUAAUACGGUAGUUAUGCUUUAAGUAUAUACAGUUUUUUUCAUUUUCUGUAAUAUGAAAAAAUAUUUGAUAUGUACCCUUAUGGGUGUACUGCUUGAUUUUAAUUAUAAUCUAGAGAAAAUUAUCCCUCAAGAUGUUUUCUGUAAUUCUAAAAAGUUCCAAUUUUCAUGUUCAAAAUAUAAUCCUAUUUAAUUUUUUCCAUGAUAGCGUGUGAAAAGGACCGUUUUCUAUGAAAAUAUAAUAGUUCCUUUUUGUAAUAGUGUUAGGCAAAAGUUCCCCAUUUUCUGAGAAAGCUAGUUCCUCCUCCAAGUAUUUAGUUAAUUAUAAUCAUCCAAAUAUAAAAAUUUUGAUACAAAUAAUUCCUAUUUCUAUCAAAAAUAAUUCCUCCUCCAGAUGGUUUUCUGUGAAUUUUCCAUAUUCUGUGAUUAAAAAGAAUGUCCUUGCAAAUUUGUUUGUCUGUGAGCAAAUUCCCUUUUUCUAUGAUUAAAAUUAUAAUAGUUCCCCUUCAAUUUUUUCCCAUUUUCUAUGAUGCAAAAAUUUCCCAUUUUCUGUGAUUAAAAAUAUUAGUUUGUCCUCGAAAUAUAUUCGUUUUCUGUAAUGAAAAUUUUCCCAUUUUCUAUGAUUAAAAUUAUAGUUGUUCCCCUUCAUUUUUUUCCCAUUUUCUAUGAUGCAAAAAUUUCCCAUUUUCUGUGAUUAAAAAUAUUAGUUUGUCCUCGAAAUAUAUUCGUUUUCUGUAAUGAAAAUUUUCCCAUUUUCUAUGAUUAAAAUUAUAAUAGUUCCCCUUCAAUUUUUUCCCAUUUUCUAUGAUGCAAAAAUUUCCCAUUUUCUGUGAUUAAAAAUAUU